AACGAACGCUGGCGGCAUGCCUAACACAUGCAAGUCGAACGAGACCUUCGGGUCUAGGGGCGCCCGGGUGCGUAACGCGUGGGAACCUGCCCUUAGGUUCGGAAUAACUCUCCGACAGGGGUGCUAAUACCGGAUAAUGUCUUCGGCCCAAAGAUUUAUCGCCUUUGGAUGGGCCCGCGUUGGAUCAGCUAGUUGGUAGGGUAAAAGCCUACCAAGGCGGCGAUCCAUAGCUGGUCUGAGAGGACGAUCAGCAACACUGGGACUGGGACACGGCCCAGACUCCUCCGGGAGGCAGCAGUGGGGAAUAUGGGACACUGGGCGAAAGCCUGAUCCAGCAAUGCCGCGUGAGUGAGGAAGGCCUUAGGGUUGUAAAGCUCUUUUACCCGGGAUGAUAAUGACAGUACCGGGAGAAUAAGCUCCGGCUACCUCCGG
rnacentral:rRNA from 1 species